rnacentral:rRNA from 1 species
UACGGAGGGGGCUAGCGUUGUUCGGAAUUACUGGGCGUAAAGCGCGCGUAGGCGGACCUGCAAGUCGGGGGUGAAAGCCCGAGGCUCAACCUCGGAACUGCCUUCGAUACUGCGGGUCUCGAGUCCGGGAGAGGUGAGUGGAAUUCCUAGUGUAGAGGUGAAAUUCGUAGAUAUUAGGAAGAACACCAGUGGCGAAGGCGGUUCACUGGCCCGGUACUGACGCUGAGGCGCGAAAGCGUGGGGAGCAAACAGG